rnacentral:rRNA from 1 species
UNGGGGGUAUAGCCUAUGGAAACAUGGGGUAAUACCGAAUAAGCUCUUUUUGCUAUGGUGAUUAGAGGAAAAAGGCAUUAGCCUUGCCGAAGGAUGAGUCUGCGUCUGAUUAGCUAGUUGGUGUGGUAAUGGCGCACCAAGGCGACGAUCAGUAGCCGGCCUGAGAGGGUGACCGGCCACAUUGGGACUGAGACACGGCCCAGACUCCUACGGGAGGCAGCAGCUAAGAAUCUUCCGCAAUGGGCGCAAGCCUGACGGAGCGACGCCGCGUGGGUGAAGAAUGCCGAGAGGUUGUAAAACCCUUUUCUUACAGAAGAAUAAUAAUCGGAGGUAAUGCCGGUUAGAUGACGUUAUGUAAGGAAUAAGCACCGGCCAAUUACGUG